GGCAUUGUGGUGCAGUUGGUUAACACGUUGGCGUAUGUUGCCAAAGUGGCUGGUUCAACUCCAGCGCAGCGGUA
rnacentral:tRNA from 1 species